rnacentral:rRNA from 1 species
AACGAACGCUGGCGGCAGGCUUAACACAUGCAAGUUGAACGUGAUUUGCUGGGUGCUUGCACCGAGCAAUGAAAGUAGCGCACUGGUGAGUAACACGUGGGAACGUACCUUUUGGUGGGGAAACAACAGUUGGAAACGACUGCUAAUACCGCAUAAGCCCUGAGGGGGAAAGAUUUAUCGCCGAAAGACGGCCCGCGGAAGAUUAGGUAGUUGGUGGGGUAACGGCCUACCAAGCCGACGAUCGGUAGCCGGACUGAGAGGUUGAACGGCCACAUUGGGACUGAGACACGGCCCAGGACUCCUACGGGAGGCAGCAGUGGGGAAUAUUGCACAAUGGGGGAAACCCUGAUGCAGCGACGCCGCGUGGAGGAAGAAGGGUCUUCGGAUUGUAAACUCCGUGUUGUUGAGGAAGAUAA